rnacentral:rRNA from 1 species
GUCAGGAAUUUUCCGCAAUGGGCGAAAGCCUGACGGAGCAAUGCCGCGUGAAGGAUGAAGGCCUAUGGGUUGUAAACUUCUUUUCUCAGAAAAGAAUUAUGACGGUAUCUGAGGAAUAAGCAUCGGCUAACUCUGUGCCAGCAGCCGCGGUAAGACAGAGGAUGCAAGCGUUAUCCGGAAUGAUUGGGCGUAAAGCGUCUGUAGGUUGUUUAAAAAGUAUUCUGUCAAAGAUUAGGGCUUAACCCUAGAUAGGCAGAAUAAACUUUUAAGCUAGAGUUUGGUAGAGGCAGAGGGAAUUCCCGGUGGAGCGGUGAAAUGCGUAGAUAUCGGGAGGAACACCAAAGGCGAAGGCACUCUGCUGGGCCAAUACUAACACUGAGAGACGAAAGCGAGGGGAGCAAAUGGGAUUAGAUACCCCGGUAGUCC